GGCUCCCGCUUGCGGGGGUACUCGAGUGGCGAACGGGUGAGUAACACGUGGGUGAUCUGCCCUGUACUUCGGGAUAAGCCUGGGAAACUGGGUCUAAUACUGGAUAGGACUGCUGGUUGGUGCUGGUGGUGGAAAGCUUUUGCGGUAUGGGAUGAGCUCGCGGCCUAUCAGCUUGUUGGUGGGGUAAUGGCCUACCAAGGCGUCGACGGGUAGCCGGCCUGAGAGGGUGUACGGCCACAUUGGGACUGAGAUACGGCCCAGACUCCUACGGGAGGCAGCAGUGGGGAAUAUUGCACAAUGGGCGCAAGCCUGAUGCAGCGACGCCGCGUGGGGGAUGACGGCCUUCGGGUUGUAAACUCCUUUCGCCAGGGACGAAGCGUUUUGUGACGGUACCUGGAUAAGAAGCACCGGCUAACUACGUGCCAGCAGCCGCGGUAAUACGUAGGGUGCGAGCGUUGUCCGGAAUUACUGGGCGUAAAGAGCUCGUAGGUGGUUUGUCGCGUCGUUUGUGUAAGUCCAUGGCUUAACUGUGGGACUGCAGGCGAUACGGGCAUAACUUGAGUGCUGUAGGGGAGACUGGAAUUCCUGGUGUAGCGGUGAAAUGCGCAGAUAUCAGGAGGAACACCGAUGGCGAAGGCAGGUCUCUGGGCAGUAACUGACGCUGAGGAGCGAAAGCAUGGGUAGCGAACAGGAUUAGAUA
rnacentral:rRNA from 1 species